rnacentral:rRNA from 1 species
UACGUAGGUCCCGAGCGUUGUCCGGAUUUAUUGGGCGUAAAGCGAGCGCAGGUGGUUUAUUAAGUCUGGUGUAAAAGGCAGUGGCUCAACCAUUGUAUGCAUUGGAAACUGGUAGACUUGAGUGCAGGAGAGGAGGGUGGAGUUCCAUGUGUAGCGGUGAAAUGCGUAGAUAUAUGGAGGAACACCGGUGGCGAAAGCGGCUCUCUGGCCUGUAACUGACACUGAGGCUCGAAAGCGUGGGGAGCAAACAGG